rnacentral:tRNA from 1 species
GGGGAUAUAGCUUAAUGGUAGAGCACUUGCCUAGCAUAUGAGGCCAUGGGUUCAAUCCCCAUCACCA